rnacentral:rRNA from 1 species
UACGUAGGGUGCGAGCGUUGUCCGGAAUUACUGGGCGUAAAGAGCUCGUAGGUGGUUUGUCGCGUUGUCCGUGAAAACUCAACAACUCAAUUGUGGGCGUGCGGGCGGAUACGGGCAGACUGGAGUGACUGCAGGGGAGACUGAAUUCCUGGUGGUAGGCGGUGGGAAAUUGCGCAGAGUAUCAGGAGGAACACCGGUGGCGA